CCAGCUGCACCAGCAGAUUAGUACCUCCCCGUGACGUUCUGCAGUAAAGAUGAGAGGGUUCUUCUUCUUCUUCUUCUGUGUUAUUUUUUUGGCAGUUGGCAAAUAACGUUAUGAUGUGCAUUGCCGCCACCGACUGAAUGAAUCCGGCGGAGCCCCGGAAGUGAGACGGAAACAACCCCGUUGGGGAGGUGUAGACACGGCAUGGGCUUCCGGAUCGUACCGUCAACGUCGCCGCCAUAUUAAAAAUCCUAAGCAGUACUCUUCCUUUGUCAAGACACAAUCUAUUGCACCAAUUUAAAGGACCAGCACAAUAUUCAACAUGACAUCUUCCAGAUCUACCAGUCAGGACUCUGCCUGCCAUGCUCUCAGGCCUAAGGGUCCCUUCACAUUUCCACAGCUUGACAGGAGGUCCUGAAAGCUGCAUUCAUCUCCCUGCCUCCCGCUGACUUCCCCAACUCCUUCCAAUCAGAGCAGAGUUAGAUGGUUUUCAGCCACUGCUAAUUUCCAAUAAGGUGAAUGCACCAAAUACACUAGAAUCUAAAAAGAUUGAGCAAAUUCAAAUAAAUGAAAGGACAG